GCGUAAGCGCACGCAGGCGGUCUGUCAAGUCGGAUGUGAAAUCCCCGGGCUCAACCUGGGAACUGCAUUCGAAACUGGCAGGCUAGAGUCUUGUAGAGGGGGGUAGAAUUCCAGGUGUAGCGGUGAAAUGCGUAGAGAUCUGGAGGAAUACCGGUGGCGAAGGCGGCCCCCUGGACAAAGACUGACGCUCAGGUGCGAAAGCGUGGGGAGCAAACAGGAUUAGAUACCCUGGUAGUCCACGCCGUAAACGAUGUCGACUUGGAGGUUGUGCCCUUGAGGCGUGGCUUCCGGAGCUAACGCGUUAAGUCGACCGCCUGGGGAGUACGGCCGCAAGGUUAAAACUCAAAUGAAUUGACGGGGGCCCGCACAAGCGGUGGAGCAUGUGGUUUAAUUCGAUGCAACGCGAAGAACCUUACCUACUCUUGACAUCCAGAGAACUUUGCAGAGAUGGAUUGGUGCCUUCGGGAACUCUGAGACAGGUGCUGCAUGGCUGUCGUCAGCUCGUGUUGUGAAAUGUUGGGUUAAGUCCCGCAACGAGCGCAACCCUUAUCCUUUGUUGCCAGCGGUUAGGCCGGGAACUCACAGGAGACUGCCAGUGAUAAACUG
rnacentral:rRNA from 1 species